rnacentral:lncRNA from 1 species
UCCUUCCUGGCCUCAGGCGUCUGUUGAGUCGUCCUCAUCUCUGUACCCCCAUCUCCCUUAGACCAGCUUGGGUUAGUCCCAAAACUUUCCUUGCUUCCGUGCCCCCGUUCAUAGACCGUGCUGGUCUUCCUUCAUCGCGUAAAUGGGCGCGGUCACGGCUCAGAUGUUAGCCCAGAGUCUGAAAGCCCAUGAACGGGAAAACACUGCAACCUCCGGGUUGGCAAAGAAGGCGAGGGUAGAAGAGACGGAUCCGGCUGUGUUUCGCCUUGAUGGCCCAGAGCCCGUGCUUAUAGCACAUCCUC